GGCUCGGUAGCUUAGUUGGUAAAGCAUUUCUCUAGCGAAUAAGGGUCGUGAGUUCAAAUCUCACCUGAGCUG
rfam:Aedes albopictus isolate Foshan contig71110, whole genome shotgun sequence.